UGGUGGCGACCGGCGCACGGGUGAGUAACGCGUAUGCAACCCAUCUAUCAGAGGGGAAUAACCCGGCGAAAGUCGGACUAAUACCGCAUAAAACAGGGGCACCGCAUGGUGAUAUUUGUUAAAGAAAUUCGCUGAUAGAUGGGCAUGCGUUCCAUUAGGUAGUUGGUGAGGUAACGGCUCACCAAGCCGACGAUGAAUAGGGGAACUGAGAGGUUGGUCCCCCACACUGGUACUGAGACACGGACCAGACUCCUACGGGAGGCAGCAGUGAGGAAUAUUGGUCAAUGGGCGAGAGCCUGAACCAGCCAAGUCGCGUGAAGGAAGAAGGAUCUAUGGUUCGUAAACUUCUUUUGCAGGGGAAUAAAGUGCAGGACGUGUCCUGUUUUGUAUGUACCCUGAGAAUAAGGAUCGGCUAACUCCGUGCCAGCAGCCGCGGUAAUACGGAGGAUCCGAGCGUUAUCCGGAUUUAUUGGGUUUAAAGGGUGCGUAGGUGGUUUGAUAAGUCAGCGGUGAAAGUUUGCAGCUUAACUGUAAAAAUGCCGUUGAAACUGUCGGACUUGAGUGUAAAUGAGGUAGGCGGAAUGCGUGGUGUAGCGGUGAAAUGCUUAGAUAUCACGAAGAACUCCGAUUG
rnacentral:rRNA from 1 species